UAUCGUUUAUUCUGGGAAUAAGAUGUUUUGAAAACAUCUAAGAAGGGUCCAACUCCCUUAACGAUAU
rnacentral:tRNA from 1 species